UCUUCCGUGAUUUAAAUACCCCUAAACCACUGAAGAACCAGAGUCGUCACCUGUAGAUUAUUCACUCCGCGCUUCGAGUCUUCCUCUCAUACACGCCAUCCUCGGUCGCCAUUUCUCCCAUUCAACCCAUCAUCCCAUUUCUCCCAUCUUCAGGGUCUUCAUUGCACAUCCAAAUGUCUUUUGAUCUCAACAACAAACAUUCAUCAAUUAUUGGACAAUUUUAUUUUAUGAACCGAGGGAGGCUGUGGUGUUCGCGCAGAAUCUUGUUCCGGCACUGGACUUGACCUAGUUAUUUUUUGGGAGGGGCGUUGUUUAUAAUUUUGUUCUUUUUGUAACCUCUGCUUUACUUGCUGUUUACUUUUAAGAGACAUUAUUUUCUUCGCGUAGUGUGAGGAAUUUCUACAUUGGGGAUUUAAGGCUAUUGUUAGAUAGUUGAGACUUUACAUUUGGAUUUUGUGAUGAGGAAAGCACCGUUGCCUCCUGGUUUCCGGUUUUCUCCAACUGAUGUAGAACUUGUACAAUAUUAUUUGAAGAGGAAGGUAAUGGGGAAAAGGCUGCAUUUUAACUUCAUUGCAGAGGUCGACAUUCACAAGUAUGCUCCUUGGGAUCUUCCAGAAAAAUCUUGUUGGCAAGGUGAUCUAAAAUGGUACUUCUUUUGUCCGACAUCAAGGAAGUAUUCAACUGGGGCUAGAGUGAAACGUGCCAACGAAUGCGGUUACUGGAAGGCCACGGGAAAGGAUAGAUCUGUUCUUUACAAUGGUGAAGUUUCCGGGUGGAUAAAAACAUUGAUCUUUCAUACAGGUCGAGCUCCAAAAGGAGAAAGAACAGAUUGGGUUAUGCAUGAGUAUAGGCUUGAAGCUAAGAACCUGGCUGAUAGUGAUGUGCCCCAGGACUCGUAUGUGAUCUGUAUGAUUUUCCAAAAAGAUGGGCCAGGGCCGAGAAAUGGUGCAGAAUAUGGUGCACCCUUUAAAGAGGAAGAAUGGACUGAUGAUGAGGCUGAAAUUUGUUCAGAAGCAGUCCCACAUGCAAACAUGCCUGAGCCAAACCUUGUGGUGCCGAGCAACUUUAAUAGUUCCAUCAUCACUAGCACACACUCCCCGGAGGGUAUACACAUAGGUCCUUCAUCUGAAUCGUGCAUAUCAGAUGCUUUACCACCUUCUUGCAAUGUUCUCCAAUUGGUUUCCAGUAAUCAUGUUACAAUGGAGAAGCCUCAUGUUUCCAAUGAUGAUAUCCUGUCAAUGUUGAAUUGCUUUACUGAAGGAAGCACUUCCUUAAUGAAAGAAAAUGACAAAAAUGAGGAGCUUGGUAAUGCCAUUCCUUCUGGAAAUGCUAGUGCUACACCUCAUGUCAAUAGUGAUGAUAUUUAUGAAGAUUUAGGAGACUUGGGCAAGCUGGCUACAGUGAGUGAAGAUGGUUAUAAUUUCUCCGCUGUGCAUAAUUCAAUAUGUGCUCCGGCUCAAAUGCUGCUAGGUGACAAUGGGCAAUUCUUGGAGCUGGAUGAUCUUGGUAGAUCCGUUGAAUUGCCAUGAUUCCAACUAUACCCAGCCUCUGUUCAGUCAGCCUUAUACUCAGCCUCUGUUCUGAAAUUAUUAUUGCUGGCUUUCAGAAGCUCACCUUACCAGACACAUAACGUUGACAUAAUUGUUGCACAUUCUUUUUCAUUGUUUGAAACGGAACAGUUUAAAAAUUG